rnacentral:ncRNA from 1 species
GAAACGGCAAACCGCCGGAAACGGCGGGACGCAAAGUCACCGGCCUAAGACCCCGCGGAGGUGAGGGUUACGGCAGCGGAACCACCGA